UUUUUUUUUUUUAAGGAAGCCUUUGGUUCCUGAAUUUCAGUAGAGUCUUGUUAAAACAACAGGGUUCAGGGUUUGACCUAUGGCCAAAUCCUAGCUUUGUCAGUACUCCUGGGCUGGCUCUGCAUCCUUCAGACCUUUAGUUUCUUUUGAAAUUCCAAAGCACCUACCUCACUGCAUACCAGUAUUAAGAGCAUUUAUUAAAUACCCUGAGAUCGGGAUAGAUAGUUUUUGGCUGUUCAGUUCUUGGUGCCGAUUCAAAGUAGCCCUUCAUCUAACAGGUUAAUGUCAACAUGAGUCACAGGCCAUAUCUUUACAUCUAGUCCUUGGAUGUGCUCAGCUAACAGACCAGAUACAAGCUAUGGCACCUGCAUGGAGCUUGAGGUCAAACUGUCCCCACAACAAGAAGACAGAGUUAAAAAGGAGGCCUACAGGCAUCCCAGCGAGGUUCUCUGUGUUCCAGCCAGUGAGGGCGGGAUGAGAGCCCUCACUGCGUCAGCAAUGCUGGGUCUAAAGCUCCACAUUCACUCAGCCAGGUGGAGCUGUAAGGAGCCGCUAUUCUCACCAAGAGAGAAAAUGGCUGUGCCAAUUUUGAGAUCGUGUAUGUCAAUAUUUUUUUUCUCUAUAACUAGUCUGGUGCCAUGGGGAACAUCAUGUAAUACAAAAUAUACAACUCCAAGAGUCAGGUUGACGACGCUACAUUUGAGUGAGCUAAAAGUCUUUUUGAGCCUUGGUUUGCUCAUUGGGAUAUAAACAAAACCUAACUACAAAGGGAAACUAGGCCUGAUAAGUUGAGCCACCUUUUUUAUGGAUAGUAGAAUAGGGGAUUCGGGGUCUUGAACCCAGAAGUACCUUGACAGGAGUAUGGACAGUAGUUUGAACGGUCAGGUUUUGAAGUAGGAAAGAAUGCAGCAGCAAAUGAGAGAUCAGACUGACUCAGACUUGCAAAUUCAACCUGAGAAGUUCCCCAGGCCUCCCCAUGCUCCGGGGUAGCUGAGCCCAGGACGCAGACAUCUUCAGAGUUCACUCCCAUCUCAGCUCUGCUUUUUCCACUGUUGUCUCCCUGCUCCUGGGUCGAACAUUGUCUCUAUUCCCGUUCUCUAGCUGAGGUUGGUUUGGUUUUUAAUUCCCUUAGAAUUGCAUCUCUCAUUGCUGAGUAGAGCAUUCUUAGGACUCUCUGGGUCCUGUUCUCCUCUCUGGAUGGUUAUGUUAUUGUUACCCAAUUUGUGUGGACCAAUGAGAAUGGAAGAGAUGACUCUCAAGGGAAGACUCCAGUGUUUCUUACAGAAGACAAAGGAUCCUGGGGAAACAGAAGCAAGACUGCAGUUGUAAACUGCAUGCUCAGACCCCCUCAACACCCUCAGAAGGGUACCCCACAACACCCCCUGCUAACCUCCCUUCCCCCAUCCAGAAUCUUCCAGUACUAUAGUAAGGAGUUACUUACUAUAGUAAAAUAAAACUAGUUUAACAAUAUAUAACCCAUAAAAAAAAAGAUUAUAUUCAGAAGGCUAAUGUCCAGCCUAAAUGUUGGACAUUUUAGCCAGUGGUAUUCUUGGAUGGAAAGAGGAGCAGCAAGCAUGAAGAAGUGACUGCGACCAGUUCAAGAUGUGGGGCAGCAUAGGAGUUGUAGCUGAGGAGAAGGUCGGGCCUGGCUGGAACAAAGAGCAUCCGAAUACAGACGUCAGCCCGUGGCCCCCCAGUGGCUCUGCCUUCCUCAACCUCAGGAAAUCUGAUUCAAGAAUGGGAGGGGUGGCAGAGGGAGAUUUCCGGAUUUCCGGGGGUAUAAAAUGUUAAUGGUUUCGG
rnacentral:lncRNA from 1 species